AUGGACACGACAGGGCCGACGACCGAGCAGCCGCAGCCACCUAGCGUCAUCCAACAGGUCCGCGGCCACGCAAUCUCCGGUGCCAUCUUCGGCUCCGUAUACAAGUUCCUCGAGGGCGCCACCAACUCGCCGAGCGGGAGCCGCCUCUCCGGCGGGGCUCUGGCGGUCCGCAGCAACACGCUCAGGAUCGGCAGCUUUGCGGCCUGGUAUGGCGCCGCCAAGUCGGUCAGGUGCGCCGUGGCCCCGGACUACCCCUUUGAAACCACGGUCGCCUGGAGCGUCACCGACGCCCUCUUCUCCGUGCGCCACGGGCUGCGCGCGGCCGGCCGCUCCGGCCUCAGAGGAGCCGUCGUUGGCGUGGUCCCCGACAUGCUUGAAUAUAGCUUACAACGCUACCUUGCCUCGCGUCCACGGGCAGACGAUCGCUGCAUCCCACCUGAGUAG
rnacentral:rRNA from 1 species